GAUAUUUCACAUGCCUACACUUAAGGGGGAAAGUUUAUUUUUUUUUCAUGUGAUUAUCUGUGACAGGGGGAGCAUUUGUAUCUGUGUUAUGAUUUACUGAUGUAUCUUUAUACAACUGAUUAUCUGCUAAAUUAAUACCCGUGUGUUUUUCUUUUUUGAUAAUGCCCAAAGGGGGAGAAUUAUACUGAUUUGUGUUUGAUAGUUGAUUGAUAAUUUGAUUUGAUUUGUACAAACAUGGUUUUUUAUUAAUCAUGGUUGUGCAUCAUCAAAAAAGGGUGAGAUUGUUGAGAUUGUUGAUAAGGGGAGCACUGGUUUAGCCAAACCUUACAAUCUCAGAGCUUCUGGUUUUUUAUGAUGACAACACAUAAUUAAUAACACAU
rnacentral:lncRNA from 1 species